rnacentral:rRNA from 1 species
AAUAUUGGGCAAUGGACGCAAGUCUGACCCAGCCAUGCCGCGUGAAGGAUGAAGGCGUUCUGCGUUGUAAACUUCUUUUACUAGUGAAGAAAGUGCGUCUUUUUAGAUGUUUUGACGGUAACUAGUGAAUAAGCCCCGGCUAACUACGUGCCAGCAGCCGCGGUAAUACGUAGGGGGCAAGCGUUGUCCGGAAUUAUUGGGCGUAAAGGGUGCGUAGGCGGCCUUUUAAGUCAGAUGUGAAAGCCCACGGCUUAACCGUGGGACUGCAUUUGAAACUGGAGGGCUUGAGUAUCGGAGAGGGUAGUGGAAUUCCCAGUGCAGCGGUGGAAUGCGUAGAUAUUGGGAGGAACACCAGUGGCGAAGGCGACUACCUGGACGAAAACUGACGCUGAGGCACGAAAGCUAGGGGAGCAAAC